CGCCCAGUACUGUUCCCUUCCCAAUCCUGUUCCCCUUUGGACUCGUCUCUGACUCUCUGUUUCCUCGUGCUCUGCUCCAGCUCCAACUCUCAUGGCGGCACAAAUCCGAACUCCGGUUCCACUUCCACCCCUGCGCCCUAGCUCACUCCCGAGGCUCAGAGCUCUAGAGCUUACGGCCCCGUCCGGCAUCCGCUCCCGCCGGUUUCAGGUCGCCUCUGCGGUCUCCGGAGGCGACAACAGCGGCGGGGGGCCACCGGCGGAGAAGGGGGAUGGGAAGCCGCGCGGGGUUCCCUCCUUGCCGGCGCUGUCGGAGAUCCGUUGGGGGGAGCUGCUCGUGCCGGCCCCCGAUAACGCUGCGGCCGUGGCGCUGACGGGCGCGCUGGUCUGGGCCGGCGCGUCGCUGCUGCUGCAGCUCGUGCUCAUCUCCGCCUCCAUCUUCGCCGCCGCCGUCAAGUACUCCUUCGUCGCCGCGCUCCUGCUCUUCGUACUCAUCGCGCUCCUAUAACCUUCAGCUUGGACUAGCCUUGAAGUUAGAGUGGUGGCACUAAAAGUCUUUGACUUUGUGCUCCUCUCAGAUCAAACUACUGAUGCAAUGAAGUGGUCUGCCUUUUAUAUAGCAAUCCAAGUAUCCAACUUCAAAGGUUGAGUAUGACCUCUGGCUAGUGUUGGUUUCAUUGCUGCAGGCCACUUAAAAGCACUUUGCAGGUCAUUUGUACAUCUUUAGUCUGCUCUUGUAGAUUCUCAUAAAUAUUGUAAAGUAUCAUGCUUCUUGCUUAUUUGCUCUGCAGUUAAUUUAACUUAUCUGGUCAGAUUCUGAUAUAAGGACUUCUGCAUUGUUUUGCCCACUAAUAAUGGGUCAUCUUAAGCAUAUAAAGUUAUAUGUCAGCAGGUUUCAUCGUUAAUUUAUUCUGCAGUUUCCAGUGUAGGAUUGACUCUUGGUCCUAUUUGUGGGUUCCAACAAAUUGAUGUACUUCUGGACUAAUAAUCUAAGUCACAGUCUGAGAGUAUUUGUAGAAAUCUAGGUUUCAAGUACAUCUCCUGUGUAUUAUACCACUUUUGGGACCUGUGUGCUGUGUCUAGAUCAGGCGUUGUAAAACAAUUGUGAAUGUUUGGAUCUAGGAAUCAUUUUUA